AGCUGGUUUUCGGGUGAAAUCUCGAAAGAGCCAGAAAGCGAAUUUUAGUUUUUAAUGUUAUUUUUUUUCCUUUUAAAAGGAAAACCCGAAACCCUAGAUUAUGAAGAAUCAAAUCAUCAAAAAUAAAAUAAUUCCUUCGCACUAAUUUUUUUUUCCAAAAGCUAAGCUUAAAGCGUCAACCAAUGUCUGAUUAUUGAAUAAUUUUUUUGAUUAAUUAGCUAAGAACAAGAUUAAGUGGGGGCAUCCUUCAUUAGCUCUCCCCCACGUUAACUUAUUUAAAUCCCCAAAAUCUAAUGUCUGUUCCAGCUCUUUCUCCAGAUUUUUUUUCUCUCUCCAUUUUUUUUACCUAUAUCACUCUUCUUCGGUUUCCCUAGCUUCUUGAGGUGACAAUAAGAGGAGAGAAAGUUUAAGAUUCAAAGCAAAUUAGCUUUUGUUUGCAGGUCAUGAUAUCAGCUUUACGUCUACAAUGUAAUGAAGGAGAAAACGUGGGACUCUAUAAGAAGGUAAACCUAAUAAAAAAAAUGAAUUACAUAAGAAGGUAUAAAUAUCAUUGAAAAUUGAGUUGUAGUAAAACUUGAAUGAAUUUAGUAUUUUAAGGAUCUUGUUGGUGAUGCUUCUAUAUUUCGAAUUUUUUGUAGCUUCACCAAUCUAAAUAUUAACAUUUUUCUGAACCACCAUGUUGCUGUCAUAUAAGUUUCAAAAGAUGAAGCUUUUUCAUUUCAAAUUAACAAAAACAAGUGUGUAAUUACGAUAUUCAUUUCAGUCAUCUUUGAAACUUCAAAAAAGUUAAUGCUGGUUUCUCCUUCUUAUAUAUAUAUUUAUUUAUUAGCUUAAAUUAUCUUUACAUAACUAGAUGGUUUUCUUGAUCAUCACACACAUGCUAAAGUUCAUUUGUUUAAACAUUUCAAACCAAUGUUUUGCUGAAUGAUUGGUGGUUUUAACAUACCACAUCUUACUAUGAGAAGCAUAACUUUUGGAACCAUGAGAUAUUUGUUGAUAGAAGUCGAGUGACAUCCAAUCCCAUUUCUGUACAUCUGCUUUUGCUACUGCAAUUGCAGUCUGCUGCAGUUACCAUGAAAAAAGGUGUACAUCAAAUUGGGGCACAGAAAUCUGCAUUAAAUCAAAAUCUAACAUAUAGAGUGGGAUGUACCCCAUAUUUGUAGCUCUUGUUGGUGUUUCAUAGCUUUGUUGCUGUGGCUGGCACAGCUGGAGACAAACUGGAACUUGUGAAUCCUCUCCAAUGCCUAAACCAUUUGUGAGAAGGGAGUCUUUGUUUGCACCAUCGACAUCCCUUGUUCCAUAAACCUGGAUGCGUUAAACUUUGAUUUUGAGGUUUACCUUCUUAUAGAGUUCCACAUUUUCUUGAUGAAUUAUGUUCCCCUGCAACGAGACACUGCAAUUUAGCCACUUGUGCUGAGACAGUAUGGUAGUAAGGAGCUGAAGUUAUUGUUUCAGGAUUUACCUUUCUGUUCAAUUCUUGAAUUUCAUUCAUUAAAAUUUGAUCCUACAGCAGUGGAAUAAAUGUUACUAAAUGGGGUUGCUUUAUUUUGCAUGCUGUUUUGAAAUUAAAAUCUGAGCAUGACUUGGAAAUAAAAGUUUCAAACCUUCUUAAUA